UACGUAGGUGGCAAGCGUUGUCCGGAAUUAUUGGGCGUAAAGCGCGCGCAGGUGGUUUCUUAAGUCUGAUGUGAAAGCCCACGGCUCAACCGUGGAGGGUCAUUGGAAACUGGGGAACUUGAGUGCCAGAAGAGGAAAGUGGAAUUCCAAGUAUAGCGGUGAAAUGCCGUAGAGAUUUGGAAGGAACACCAGUGGCGAAGGCGACUUUCUCGUCUGGUAACUACACUGAGGCGCGAAGCGUGGGAGCGAAC
rnacentral:rRNA from 1 species